UACGUAGGCAGCAAACGUUGUUCGGAAUUACUGGGCGUAAAGAGUGUGUAGGCGGUUCUGUAAGUUUGGUGUGAAAUCUCCCGGCUCAACUGGGAGGGUGCGCCGAAUACUGAGUGACUCGAGUGCGGGAGAGGAAAGUGGAAUUCCAGGUGUAGCGGUGAAAUGCGUAGAUAUCUGGAGGAACACCGGUGGUGUAGACGGCUUUCUGGACCGUAACUGACGCUGAGACACGAAAGCGUGGGUAGCAAACAGG
rnacentral:rRNA from 1 species